ensembl:ncRNA F45D3.15 ncRNA
AGGAAUGUCUGUGAAAAAAGGAAUGAUCGACGGCACGUUCCACAGCUAACAAGGCGUCCGUUUGUCGAAGCCACGUCAUCAGGAAUAAACGAUUUUAUCAAUCAU